rnacentral:rRNA from 1 species
GGUUAAGCGACUAAGCGUACACGGUGGAUGCCCUGGCAGUCAGAGGCGAUGAAGGGCGUGCUAAUCUGCGAUAAGCGCCGGUAAGGUGAUAUGAACCGUUAUAACCGGCGAUACCCGAAUGGGGAAACCCAGUGUGAUUCGUCACACUAUCAUUAACUGAAUCCAUAGGUUAAUGAGGCGAACCGGGGGAACUGAAACAUCUAAGUACCCCGAGGAAAAGAAAUCAACCGAGAUUCCCCCAGUAGCGGCGAGCGAACGGGGAGGAGCCCAGAGCCUGAAUCAGCAUGUGUGUUAGUGGAAGCGUCUGGAAAGGCGCGCGAUACAGGGUGACAGCCCCGUACACAAAAGCGCAUGUGCUGUGAGCUCGAUGAGUAGGGCGGGACACGUGGUAUCCUGUCUGAAUAUGGGGGGACCAUCCUCCAAGGCUAAAUACUCCUGACUGACCGAUAGUGAACCAGUACCGUGAGGGAAAGGCGAAAAGAACCCCGGCGAGGGGAGUGAAAAAGAACCUGAAACCGUGUACGUACAAGCAGUGGGAGCCCCACCACUAAGCCAGUGGUGAACUCCACAUACGCAUCCUUUGCUGAGGAUACGGUUAACGGAGCGAAAGCGACGUUCAACCGCAAAAGAAGCAGAGGGGGCUUAGUGGUGGGGUGACUGCGUACCUUUUGUAUAAUGGGUCAGCGACUUAUAUUCUGUAGCAAGGUUAACCGAAUAGGGGAGCCGGAGGGAAACCGAGUCUUAAUUGGGCGUUAAGUUGCAGGGUAUAGACCCGAAACCCGGUGAUCUAGCCAUGGGCAGGUUGAAGGUUGGGUAACACUAACUGGAGGACCGAACCGACUAAUGUUGAAAAAUUAGCGGAUGACCUGUGGCUGGGGGUGAAAGGCCAAUCAAACCGGGAGAUAGCUGGUUCUCCCCGAAAGCUAUUUAGGUAGCGCCUCGUGAACUCAUCUCCGGGGGUAGAGCACUGUUUCGGCUAGGGGGCCAUCCCGGCUUACCAACCCGAUGCAAACUGCGAAUACCGGAGAAUGUUAUCACGGGAGACACACGGCGGGUGCUAACGUCCGUCGUGAAGAGGGAAACAACCCAGACCGCCAGCUAAGGUCCCAAAGUCAUGGUUAAGUGGG